rnacentral:miRNA from 1 species
UUCCUUCUGGUCAAUGAGGUUUAGCCUCCUCAUCAACUGGAAGGAAUCCCUUCCAAUCGAUGAGGAGGCUAGGUUGGGGGGUUCGCAGCGAGGGCUUCAUCAACCGGAAGGAAUCUCCUCCAGUCGAUGAGGAAGCUAAACCUCAUUGACCGGAAGGGG